rnacentral:misc_RNA from 1 species
AAAGAACUGAGAGCCAUUGGUGUUUGGGCCAGCAUUGGCCAUUGACACUGUGAAAGGCCUGUCAUGUCGUAAACUUUUAUGAAACUCAUCCUCAAACUCCCUUCCCCAAAUAGAUUGCCCACCAGUGCCAUCCCCCAAAGGAUCUCCAGUCUGUAUCAUGAAACCCUUGAUGACACGAUGAAAGAUAAGAUUAUCAUAAUAGCCAUUUCUACAGUGAGUCGUAAAAUUCUCCACUGUUUUUGGACAUUCUUCUGGGUACAGUCUCAUGUGAAUGUCACCCAUUGUGGUAUGUAGAAUCACAUUGUCAGGAAGAGAUGUGGUGACUGCUUUUCCUAUAUCUGAUACAGCCAAAAGUUCAUCUGCAGGAGGUUUUUCAUUGAACACGUCUCUUCCCUUAGUUGAAUCCUCAGGUUCCUCUGGUUCUCUCCGGCUAAAUUGACCAUAAAAAAUUGCACAAAAACAGUCCAUUUCGUGACACAACAUAAUCCAUAAAUCAAAGGUCAAGAGGCCUAUCUAAAUGCAUAACAAAAACAAAAUGUAAUUUACAAAUAAACAAAUCAUGUCCGGAUACACAAAUCAAAUUAACCCGAUGUUUGACAUUUCACACAGGUUACAUCACUGUAUUUGUGAUUCAUAAAACUUCUAUAGGAAAAACAGGAAAAGGCAAAACUAAACUCAUUUUUUCUUCAUGGUUAACGGUUAUUGAGGAAAAACUUGUAUUACAAAUACCAUAUCCCCUAUCCAUAGUAUAUUCAUGCUUUCAUAACUAUUUAUAGUAGAAUAAGAAAUGUCAUUUGAUAAAAAAAAAAUAGAAUAUCGAGGAUGAGGCAUUUUUCUUUUCACAGCAAAAGGCGCAAGUGAUAUAUACAAAUAUUUUCUCCUUUCAUAGUAAAGAUAUAAAUGGUCUAAAAUUCAAACUUUUCUAGGAAAACAUAAUUUCAAAUCAGGCUCUUAGCAAUAAAAAUUAUUAGUCUUGUCUUAUUCUUUUUACCAAGGACAUUAUAAAUGAUUCAUACUCGCACUCAAAUGUCAUAUCUCACUUCUUUAGCAAGGACAUUACAAAUGAUUAUAUGUAUUCCCACUUAUACAAGUCUAAUUGUUUUUCACAUUAUAAUAAGAUUUGCUUUCUAAUUAUCAGCCAUAUACAAAACUUAACCAGUCAGUGCCACCCAUAAUGGCAUUACCAGCGAAUGCUGUUAUGAAAAACACAAAUUUUAGACAAAGUUUUACAUAACUAGAGAUGUUGUACAUGUACUAUUACCUGAACAAAUAAAUCCUAUGUUUCUUGAAAGCACAACACAAGAGAGUGGGAUCUGUUAAAGGCUCUUUACUCUCAUUGGCAUUUGCUGCAGCUGCAGGAAUUUUUCUAACUUUCUUACUACUUCGAUCACCUUGAUACAAGGCAAUUUGCAAAAAUCUGUCAUUAUUCUCCACCUUUCCAAGAAUUCGGGCAACUUUAUUGGUAUGUAAAUUUACUACUUUUAUCCCAAGGAGAGUUGCAUAUAUCAGAAAAUUAGAACUUUCAUCAAAAACAGCAUUUG